rnacentral:lncRNA from 1 species
GCUGCGGGUUUGAUUCUUGCUAAAGUAGAUUUUCCCUUUGGGAUCGCAUCCUCUAUUUGUCAAUAAGAUUCAUAUGAUUGAAGAUUUUACUUACAACCAUGUCAGUGUCAGAGUUGUGCUCUUCUAGAUCCAAAAAUGUUAUAUAAUGACUUCCAAGGUUCUCACUACUAUGAAUAACCAUUUGCAAUUAGCAAAUGGUUAUUUCAUUGGUUUUUGGUGAAUUGUCAAGACAUUGUUAACAUAUACAAUUAUGGAAAUUAAACCACUCUG